rnacentral:rRNA from 1 species
AAACUGGGAUUAGAUACCCCACUAUUAUAAUCGUAAAUUAAUAUAAACUAAAUUAUUAAUAGUUUCGUUCUUUAAAUUUAAAGGAUUUGGCGGUAAUUUAGCUUUUCAGAGGAACCUGUAUUUUAAUUGAUAAUCCACAAUAAAUUUUACUUGAUUUUUUGCUUAUAUACCUCUAUCAUGAACGUGCUAAAAAGUGAAUUUUCUAACUAGGAUUUAACCUUUAAUGUUAGGUCAAGGUUUAGCUAUAUUUAAGUAAUUAUGGGUUACAUUAUUAACAUAUGAAGUUAUAUACAUUUAAAUAUAUAUAUAAUUUGGAUUUGAUAGUAAA